UACGUAGGUGGCGAGCGUUGUCCGGAUUUACUGGGCGUAAAGAGCUCGUAGGCGGCUUGUCACGUCGGGUGUGAAAGCCCGGGGCUUAACCCCGGGUCUGCAUUCGAUACGGGCUAGCUAGAGUGUGGUAGGGGAGAUCGGAAUUCCUGGUGUAGCGGUGAAAUGCGCGGAUAUCAGGAGGAACACCGGUGGCGAAGGCGGAUCUCUGGGCCAUUACUGACGCUGAGGAGCGAAAGCGUGGGGAGCGAACAGG
rnacentral:rRNA from 1 species